ACGAAGGGUGCAAGCGUUACUCGGAAUUACUGGGCGUAAAGCGUGCGUAGGUGGUUCGUUAAGUCUGAUGUGAAAGCCCUGGGCUCAACCUGGGAAUGGCAUUGGAUACUGGCGGACUGGAGUGCGGUAGAGGAUGGCGGAAUUCCCGGUGUAGCAGUGAAAUGCGUAGAGAUCGGGAGGAACAUCGGUUGCGAAGGCGGCUCUCUGGACCAGCACUGACACUGAGGCACGAAAGCGUGGGGAGCAGACAGGA
rnacentral:rRNA from 1 species